UGGGGGAUAUUAGUCAAUGGAGGAAACUCUGAACUAGCGACGCCGCGUGAGGGAAGAAGGUCUUCGGAUUGUAACCCUCUGUCUUCGGGGAAGAUAAUGACGGUACCCGAGGAGGAAGCUCCGGCUAACUACGUGCCAGCAGCCGCGGUAAUACGUAGGGAGCAAGCGUUAUCCGGAUUUAUUGGGUGUAAAGGGUGCGUAGGCGGGAAGGCAAGUUGAUUGUGAAAUACCGGGGCUCAACUCCGGGGCUGCGUUCAAAACUGUUGUUCUUGGGUACAGCAGAGGCAAGCGGAAUUCCCAGU
rnacentral:rRNA from 1 species